AGGACUAACGCUGGCGGCGUGCCUAACACAUGCAAGUCGAACGAGGGGUAGCAAUACCCCUAGUGGCAGACGGGUGAGUAACACGUAGUCAACCUACCUCUUAAUGGGGGAUAACUAGCCGAAAGGUUAGCUAAUACCGCAUACGAUCGUCGAGUGGCAUCACACGACGAUGAAAGGAGCAAUCCGUUGAGAGAGGGGACUGCGUCCCAUUAGUUAGUUGGUGGGGUAAUGGCCUACCAAGACUCCGAUGGGUAGCUGGCUUGAGAGAGCGACCAGCCACACUGGAACUGAGACACGGUCCAGACUCCUACGGGAGGCAGCAGUGAGGAAUUUUCCGCAAUGGGGGAAACCCUGACGGAGCGACGCCGCGUGUGGGAAGAAGGCCUUCGGGUCGUAAACCACUGUCGAGGGGACGAUAUUGACGGUACCCCUGGAGGAAGCCCCGGCUAACUACGCGCCAGCAGCCGC
rnacentral:rRNA from 1 species